GGGAGACUGUGAAGCGGGCACGCCCAGUGUUCGUGGAGUCGUUGUUGAAAUACCACUCUGAUCGUAUUGGACAUCUAACCUCGGACCAUGAUCUGGUUCAGGGACAGUGCCUGGUGGGUAGUUUAACUGGGGCGGUUGCCUCCCAAAAUGUAACGGAGGCGCCCAAAGGUUCCCUCAGCCUGGUUGGCAAUCAGGUGUCGAGUGCAAGUGCACAAGGGAGCUUGACUGUGAGACUGACAGGUCGAGCAGGGACGAAAGUCGGGACUAGUGAUCCGGCACCGGCAAGUGGAAGCGGUGUCGCUCAACGGAUAAAAGGUACCCCGGGGAUAACAGGCUGAUCUUCCCCAAGAGUCCAUAUCGACGGGAUGGUUUGGCACCUCGAUGUCGGCUCGUCGCAUCCUGGGGCUGGAGUAGGUCCCAAGGGUUGGGCUGUUCGCCCAUUAAAGCGGCACGCGAGCUGGGUUUAGAACGUCGUGAGACAGUUCGGUCUCUAUCCGCCGCGCGCGUUAGAAACUUGAGGAAGGCUGUCCCUAGUACGAGAGGACCGGGACGGACGAACCUCUGGUGUGCCAGUUGUUCCGCCAGGAGCACUGCUGGUUAGCUACGUUCGGAAGGGAUAACCGCUGAAAGCAUCUAAGCGGGAAGCCUGUUCCAAGAUGAGGUUUCUCACCCCCUCGAGGGGGUAAGGCCCCCGGCAGACCACCGGGUUGAUAGGCCAGAACUGGAAGCACAGUAAUGUGUGGAGGUGACUGGUACUAAUAGGCCGAGGACUUACCACAA
rnacentral:rRNA from 1 species